AGUGAACGCUGGCGGCAGGCCUAAUACAUGCAAGUCGAACGGCAGCACAGUGGAGCUUGCUCCAUGGGUGGCGAGUGGCGGACGGGUGAGGAAUACAUGGGAAUCUGCCCAGUCGUGGGGGAUAACGUAGGGAAACUUACGCUAAUACCGCAUGCGCCCUUCGGGGAAAGCCGGGGACCGGUAAGGCCUGGCGCGAUUGGAUGAGCCCAUGUCGGAUUAGCUAGUUGGCGGGGUAAAGGCCCACCAAGGCGACGAUCCGUAGCUGGUCUGAGAGGAUGAUCAGCCACACUGGAACUGAGACACGGUCCAGACUCCUACGGGAGGCAGCAGUAGGGAAUAUUGGACAAUGGGCGCAAGCCUGAUCCAGCCAUGCCGCGUGAGUGAAGAAGGCCCUCGGGUUGUAAAGACUCUUUUGUCCGGAAAGAAAAGACGCCGGGUUAAUACCCUGGUGUCCUGACGGUACCGGAAGAAUAAGACACCGGCUAACUUCGUGCCAGCAGCCGCGGUAAU
rnacentral:rRNA from 1 species